GCCUAAAGCGUCCGUAGCCGGCUUUGUAAGUUUUCGGUUAAAUCUAUAUGCUCAACAUAUAGGCUGCCGGAAAUACUGUAAAGCUAGGGAGUGGGAGAGGUAGACGGUACUCCGUAGGAAGGGGUAAAAUCCUUUGAUCUAUGGAUGACCACCUGUGGCGAAGGCGGUCUACCAGAACACGUCCGACGGUGAGGGAUGAAAGCUGGGGGAGCAAACCGGAUUAGAUACCCGGGUAGUCCCAGCUGUAAACUAUGCAAACUCAGUGAUGCAUUGGCUUGUGGCCAGUGCAGUGCCGCAGAGAAGUCGUUAAGUUUGCCGCCUGGGAAGUACGUACGCAAGUAUGAAACUUAAAGGAAUUGGCGGGGGAGCACCACAAGGGGUGAAGCCGGCGGUUCAAUUGGAGUCAACGCCAGAAAUCUUACCCGGAGAGACAGCAGGAUGAAGGUCAAGCUGAAGACUUUACCAGACAAGCUGAGAAGUGGUGCAUGGCCGUCGCCAGCUCGUGCCGUGAGGUGUCCUGUUAAGUCAGGUAACGAGCGAGAUCCUUGCCUCUAGUUGCCACCAUUACUCUCAGGAGUAGUGGGGCGAAUUAGCGGGACUGCCGUAGUUAAUACGGAGGAAGGAGAGGGCCACGGCAGGUCAGUAUGCCCCGAA
rnacentral:rRNA from 1 species